GGCGGGCACUGGGGCGAUUCGCCAAUCGGGGCAGACUCGGGUUCGUCCAGACUCUGGACCUGGGCCGGCAGGGGCUGAGGCUCUGCUCCUCGCCCUGCGUGGACUUUGGAAUUGGCUCGGGGACGGCCGCGGGCCGCAGCAGGAGCGCGUUUCCGAGGGACGCCGAGCCCCCGACCCCGCCGAGCCCCGAGGAUGCGCGCUCUUCCAGCCCUGGACGCGCCCGCCAGCCAGCGGCUCCUGCCCCGGGACCCCAAGGCACCCCGGGCCCCAGACGACGCGGCGGGACCGGCGCGCAGGAGCGCCGUGGAGAGGCUGGCCGCCGACCGCGCCAAGUACGUGCGGGGCCUGCCCGGGGUCGGCCCGCGCCCCGCUUCCGAGGGCGGCAGCUCCGGGGCGAGCGGAGGGCAGGUGGGCGACCCUCGGGCCCCGGCCCGCGUUCCCGGUCCGGUGGCGCGCAGAGCCAUUGCGCGGAAGCCGUUGCGGCCUGACUCGCUGGUCAUCUACCGGCAGAAAUGCGAGUUCGUCCGUGCGCCGGGCGCCGACAGCUCCCGAGGGGGGCUGGUGAGGAAGCUCUUCCAGGGGCCGGGCAGGGACAAGACGCCGGUGCCUCCCGAGACGUCCCAGGGGGCAGAAGAGGGCAGGGCCAGGGCCGAGGAGGCCGCCCGGACCAAGCCCAGCCCCGUGGAGGCCCCCGCGGCCCGGGCCCCCGCCACGCCCGUCGGGGCGCCCCCCGGAGUCCCGGCCGGGGCGCGGGGUGCGGGGCUUCCGGGGCUGAGGCGCGGGGCGCUGCAACGCUCGCAGUCGGACCUCAGCUCCCGCUACUCUGCGUCCAGGGCCGAGUCUGACACCUUCUUCCGCUACUGCGGCCUGGAUCCCGAGGUGGUGGAGGCGCUGGGGCGGGAGAACUUCUCCGCGGCGUCGGACCACGUCGCGCUCAAGGUCCGCAGCGUGAGCGUCGCCACCUCCGACAGCGGCUUCUCCCGGCACAGCAGCGGCGACGAGGGGCUGCAGGAGGAGGAGCUGACGGAGCAGGUGCCCAGCACCACCUCGGUGGUCGAGAGGAAUGCCCGCAUCAUCAAGUGGCUCUACACCUGUAGGAAGGCCAAGGAGGCCUCCGGCCAGGCGCUGCAGGGCCCGGCGUGACUGCGGGCCCGGAGCCCCAGCCCCGAGGUGUGCGUGCGGCACCCUGGGGGGGGAGGCUGUGCGUGCGUGUCUGUGAGGCUGGGUGAGUGUGGCCGAGUUGGGUGGAUCCAGGCCUCCCAAACUGCAGGGACCCUACAGAUCGAGACGCAGAGGCUCGUGCGUUAGAGUGGCCGCUGCUGAAGAGCAGAAGUGCUGCGAAUCCAGGUCCCCGCAGGUCCAGCGUGCUUUCUUUUGAGUGUGCUCCUUCUGACUGCCUGGAGAAGUAAUUCUGAACGUUAACGCCGUCCCAGUUGGUUCUUGUUGUCAAAAGAGAAGAAAUAGGAAUUACAGAAUGCUGAGCGAGAAGGCAGUUUUACACCUCUGCUAUUACUUCUUGCACUGAAAAUAGUCUGAGAGCCCUAGUCCCCUGUGAAUUGAGAGGUGGGCUCCCGAGGUUCGAUCAGAGCUGCUGCUCAGCCUCUAGCCCCAGGGUCGGGCUGCCAUCUGCCCCCCUCGGAAAGGAAGUCUCUGUGCAGUCCCUGGACGUUCCUGCACAUUUACCAAGUGGCAGGAGAGGGCGAGCUUGUCUGCGGAUCUUGUCAGCAGGGUGAUGUUCCUUUAGCUGCAAAGAUCUCUCUUUGCUAAGUUUUGUUUGAAUUGUUUCGAGAGCUUUCUAGGGAGAGUCCCUCGGGCAGCUUAGAUCACAAGGAGCUUCAGCUUGUUAACAGGGUGCUGGUCUGGACUGUUACUGGUGUCUUGAAGUCCUCCGUGGCUGUGGUUCUGUCUUUGCCUCUGCUGGUGAGACAGGAGGUACAUUUCUUCCCCGUGGGCACCAGGAGCGCGGGGUUGAUCUCAGGUUCCUUUUUCCUGAGGAACUGAGGAAUGGGUCUCCUCGCUGGCACCUCUGCUCUUCCUUACAGGCACAGUGGGCGCUUCGGGGGAUAGUGAUGGGAGGAGAAGAUCCCUUUUCAGGGUUUUCUUUGAGAACCAAGAAUUUAAACCUUGCAGCAUCUUUCUUUCUCCUACCCUUCAAUGACGACUUGCUGUAGAUUUUUUGAAAAUCCAUAUGAUGGAAGGACUUUGUCUGCCUUGAGGUAAACGUGUUGAACUCACAGUCUCAGUCUCUAGAGUGGAGGGGAGGGGCCACAAGACAUGUCUGUCUGCAGCUCACCUGUGCCUGAGGCCUCAGCAGAAGCCUGCCUUCCCUGAGCCGCCAGGGAAGUUAACCAGGAGUGAGGAUUUCAUUGUUUCUCUUGAAGUCAGAAGGUUUAUUACUUGGGUUCUUCCUUCUAAUUUAUUGAAGAUUAUUGCAUUUUCCAUUAGCCUAAGUCCCCAAAGAAUGUAUAUAGACAGUCAAAAUUAAAAACAAAAAACAUUAACUACAUCUUUCACAGAUGGUCUUUUGGGAAUGAGAUGGGUGAAUGCUGGCAAGGUGUUCCCAGGAAGCCACCUGGACCCCUGGGUGUGGAGGGGGAAAGGUGCAGGGCUCGGCAUGGCCCCCGGGGAUGUGGUCUGGUGGACAGAGCACUCAGUGGGAAUUAGGAGGCCUGUCUUCUGUUAGGAGUUUCUCCUGUACUGUAGGCUUGGGUCUCUGUGGUCCGCAAAUGAAGGCAGAUGGACAGAUGGUUUCCAACCUCUCUACUUUACAAUUCUGCAUAGGUAAUAAUUUGUAUAUUUGUGUUCUGUGAUUGGAACCCAGAAAAGGAAAAUAAAAAGCCGCUGUCUAUUGGAGUAAAAAGUAAACUUACAAAUAAGAUCCCUGGGGGUCGCCAGAGUGCACUGUGUUUGCGCACAGAGGUAGAGUUGGUGAUGGUGCUGAGGAAACAAGAUGGUGCACCAACAGACCAAAAUAAACCCUGACAGCUGAAAAUAUGAGCAUUGCUGUCUGGUCCCUCCAGACCCAGACUCAGCCCCAAUCCCAGUCCACUUUCCACGCAGGGACCCGAGAAGGGUUUUAGGGUUCGGUAUGUGGAGUUAACCCGUCUGAGGCCCUCUUAGGUUUGAGCCUUUGAACAAUGUAAGCAGUUCCAUCAGCUUGCGGGAACUUUCACUUUUGUGGUGAGAAGUGGUUGAGGCAAGAGGGGCCGUGACAGGAGGUUCGGGAAGCCCCAGGGCGAAUCUGUGCUGGAGAACAGAGGUUCGAAUUCCUCAUCCUCUGCCUCCCUCUGUCUCAAUCCUGUUUGUUCCAGUGGCGGACUGAGUCACCUGUCUUCUGAGCACUCGCUCAAAGAAGGGAGACGACGUCACAGAGAGCCCGCCCCGUGUUCUGUGCGUCAUCAGCAUCACCGCACUGUGAGAUUUACGUCACAGAUUUACUCCCCCAGAGACAAACACGGCUCGGUGCUUGGAAACGUCACCCCAGGGGACCCACAGCCUGGCCUUUGGAGGACUGUGAGGAGGAAAUGAUUCUCCUGGGCUUUCUCCACUCACUGGGCCCGGGGGAUGUCUGCUUGUGACCACGGCCCCUCAGUUUGCCGCCUCCAGACACCGCGUCUUCUCUGCGGAGGAGCCAGCAGAGAGCGAGACUCAGACGCAGAUUCCGCCUUCCUCUGAAGCAAGCCUUCCCAAUAAUGGGGGCUCCUUGAAGAGUGUCGUGGAUGAUUUGGAACCCCAAGGCCAUCCUCACUGCCACAGGCUUUGUCUAGUGCACACAAGUGACCACAUGGUUGUUGUUUUCCUAAGAAUAAAGCACCCCAUUGAAGAAACGUAAGUAAUUUCAGAAGGGUUGAAAUGCCGUGGAGAAGAUGGGAACAAAGAACUUGGAAAUUAGCUGAGUUACAACUGUUAGGACACGGCUGAGGCUCUGGAGAUGUAUUCUUGCUCAGGUGGACCUAUCCUUCCAGGGGGCAGCAGAAGAGAGGAGAGCUGCUUGGAAACAUUUUCAGGGGCAUCUUUUUGACUGGCUUUCUGACAAAGAGGUACCAUGAUGCAUUUAAGUGAUAUCACAUUGAUUUUAAAAAGAGAAAAAACCAACGAUCAUGACAACCAAGCGUGAACACCAUGGUAUUCACUGCUUUCAUUCAUCUUGGACAGAUUGGCACUGUUGAAAUCAAAGUGCCAUAAUCACAAGAAGGUCCCUUCUACUUAAAUACUAUGGCUAACAAAGAGUAAACACACACUUACACUUGGACCCUCAACACAGACCUGCUUUGCUCGGCAUCCCUGGGCCUUAAACCACAGAGAGCUCCCAAACUGGGUGGCUGGUCAUCUUGCCUGAUGAGUCAGAAAGCACUUUUAAAGUUGCUUGAGGGCUACAAGGUCAUUCUAUUAAUGCUACUCCCGCUGGGUUGUAGACAUAUGGAAGUACAUUCCAAAAUAAGUUAGAGUUGAAAUACUGCUAAAAUACCUUUUCUCAGACCUGGACUAUUUCUUGAGAAUUGGCGGAAGAAUCUUGGAGCUUCCUUUCAUUAGAUCAAUAGCAGAAUUCCUCUUUUGCAGCACCAUUUAGAGUGUGCCUCCACAGUUCUCUUGUUCCCAGCUUCCAGAAGGAGAAGAAAACGUCGGUUUAUACAGAAUGUGGACGCAUGAAACAGAACACGCCUGCCCUUUGGUCUGGUUCCCACCUCCAUGUAUCACACAGUCAUCUCAAACUGGCAAUAGUUCACCCUUCUCUGCAAAGGGUCUUUUUGAGACAAGGGGCAGUCUCUGGGUGGCCGGGCAUCAUGAAGAUCAGAAUCUUGUUGGUGAGGAGCUACUUAUUCAGAACGGGCUCUCGUGACACCCGGAGGCCACAGGUUUCAGACUCAGAACCUUCUGAGAGAAAUUUUAUGUCAGUGAUGGCACUCAAAGUAAAUUUUCACCCAGUCACCUCUUUCAAAGUCUACCAUAUUUUAUCAAAAUACAUCCUUUCAAGAACAAAAUUAUUAAAGAAUAUGGAGGGGAGGGAAAUGAGUUUUUCAAUGGUAAAUAUUUUAUAAAUCAAUCCAUUUUGAUAUAUUCAUGUAUUUGUUUAAUAAUGUAUUCUAUUUUUGUAACUUUUACUGUGACAGUAGGUCUUUGAGUUACUUAAAUAUUUAUUUUUACACAGUUAUUGAUCUUCAAAUAGUUUUCCUUGACUUCAUAUGGUUUCAGUUUUUAUUGUAUAAUUUUGAAUCAUUUUCUCAUUGGCUGUCAUUUUGUAUAUGUUGUUUAAUUGAAUUUUCAACUUUUGGCUGUAAGUGUCCUCUGCUCUAUGAAGCAUUCGAUGCCAUAGUGAUUUGUUUUCAGAUUAGCCCCAGAUACAAAUUUUGGAGGCUCUGUUGGCAGACAAAUGUACUUUUCUCAAUGUAGACUCUAUUUAAAGACAGCAUAUUCCCCGCUUUCAGGAUUUUUCUCCAGUUGUCCCUCUAAAAAUGCUGCUAUUUUGCUGUUCACUGGAUUGCACUUACUUUAAAAAGAUAUUGUCAAAGAUGAGACUUUUUUUUUAAAGGAUCUUUUCAUAUACCCAGUUCCCUUAUUUGCAGUUGUUGCAUUAAGUUUCUGUGUGAAUGCUUUAAGUGAAAUUGUUUUGUGCUUUUCUACUGUCAGAAUAGGAUGAACUGAAACCUAGGUCAGAUUUAUCUUAGAUCAAAAUGGUGCAGACUUGCCAUCCAUACAGCAGAUGAAAAAUAUAAAAACAUAUUGGUUGCUGCUGAAAAGCACCAAGCUCUGCCAGAAGGGUGUGCACGUCAGUGGACGUACCGAGAGAGCAGAGAGUUCAGGAGGAGCGAAUGCUGGAAGUCAGUGUCAGAGGCGGGUGUGAAGAACAGGAAUGGGGUGUCCCCAGAUGCUCUCCCUCCCUCGAUGCAGAUUCUCGCCUCAGCAUCAGGGCCCCCAUGUGUGGUUGGACGCACAAGUCCUCUCCUAACCCUGAGUUACCCCAGAUUGCCUAGUGACCCUGGGAAAACCAAACUUUGUAGCUCAAUCUGAAUGACAAAGUUCGCAACUGCUUUUCACGAGGAUGAGCAGUAGUUACUACUGCAAAAUGGUUUUGUUUAUGAAAGAGCCGAACAUAAAAUAACGUGAUUAAAUGCAGUGGAAAGAAAAAUUAUUGAUAACCCAGGGAAAAUAGCUUGACAGUAUCUAUUCCACUAACAUAUGGUACAGAUUUGCAAUGCCUCAGACUGCAGGGUGUUUAUGUAACUGGAAGUUUCCUCAUUAUAUACAUGUGUGUAUGGUCUUUAAACCGCUGUCCGUGACACUGGACUAGAAGGAAAGCUGCUUUAAACUUUGCCCUUUUCAGUGGUUGAAAGUUCGUGCGACCUUGCCGUGGUUAUCGUUGGUGACGCCGUAAAACAUCAGGCCCAGACAGUGGUUACGGCAGUUUCUAAAUAUAGUUUUCUCUACCCAGUGCUUACAGCUGGAGUGCAAUAUUGUGUAUUCUGUACUAAAGAAAUAAAGCAUUUUUAUCAUUUGUUAAUACUAAUUUAUGAAUUUGUAUGAUGUGAAAAAAGUUGAAGCAAGAGUGUGCCCACUGCAGUCACUCACAUGUUUUGUUUUCUCCCUUUCUUCCUACUGCCGAUCAUCAGACCCUCAGUAGAAACGAGGAGAGCAUUCCAGGACCUGACCCAGGUGAGUCCUGUGGUCUCUCAAGUCCCCAGUGCUCCCUGGAGAUGGAAUGCAGUAAAAACGGUUUUGAAUAUUUA